rnacentral:rRNA from 1 species
UAUGUGAUCGUCUCUCGCAUAUCAAUAAGCGGAGGAAAAGAAACUAACAAGGAUUCCCCUAGUAACGGCGAGUGAAGCGGGAAGAGCUCAAAUUUGAAAUCUUAAAGGGUUUCCCUUUACGAAUUGUAGUUUAAAGAAGUGUUUUCUGUUGAGGUUUUGGUAAAAGUUCUUUGGAAUAGGACAUCAUAGAGGGUGAGAAUCCCGUAUUUGACCUUUACUUUCAACUUUGUGAUACACUUUCAAAGAGUCGGAUUGUUUGGGAAUGCAGUCCAAAAUGGGUGGUAAAUUUCAUCUAAAGCUAAAUAUUGGCGAGAGACCGAUAGCGAACAAGUACCGUGAGGGAAAGAUGAAAAGAACUUUGAAAAGAGAGUUAAACAGUACGUGAAAUUGUCAAAAGGGAAGCGUUUGACACCAGUGUUGUUUUUCUGAAAAUCAAUUAAAGAACUGUUUAUGCUAAGUUGUUUAGACUUUAUCAGCUAAUCUGUUUAGUUUUGAGCUUUUCUUUAAUGCACUUUUCAGUUAACAAGUCAACAUCAAUUUCUUUUGCUGUAAAAAAGCUUGAGGAAGGUGGCUUGAGAUUCGUCUUAAGUGUUUAUAGCCUCUUGCCUAUGCAGUCGGAGAGAUUGAGGUCUGCAGCGUAGAUCCUCCGGGGCUAAAUGCAUUUGUGCUAAGUUAUAGCAUUUUAUAGACAACUUGUUGACUAUGAUUUGUCUUGUAGCUUACUCGCUUAUGUUAUUUUACCUACGCUUAGGAUGUUGAGUAGCGACAUACGCAC